GACGAACGCUGGCGGCGUGCUUAACACAUGCAAGUCGAACGGAAAGGCCCUGCUUUUGUGGGGUGCUCGAGUGGCGAACGGGUGAGUAACACGUGAGUAACCUGCCCUUGACUUUGGGAUAACGUCAGGAAACUGGGGCUAAUACCGGAUAGGAGCUCCUGCUGCACGGUGGGGGUUGGAAAGUUUCGGCGGUUGGGGAUGGACUCGCGGCUUAUCAGCUUGUUGGUGGGGUAGUGGCUUACCAAGGCUUUGACGGGUAGCCGGCCUGAGAGGGUGACCGGCCACAUUGGGACUGAGAUACGGCCCAGACUCCUACGGGAGGCAGCAGUGGGGAAUAUUGCACAAUGGGCGGAAGCCUGAUGCAGCAACGCCGCGUGCGGGAUGACGGCCUUCGGGUUGUAAACCGCUUUCGCCUGUGACGAAGCGUGAGUGACGGUAAUGGGUAAAGAAGCACCGGCUAACUACGUG
rnacentral:rRNA from 1 species